rnacentral:SRP_RNA from 1 species
CCGUGCUAGGCGGGGAGCUAGCGGUGCCCUGUACCCGCAAUCCGCUUUAGCGGGGCUGAACUCCCCCCGGAGGCUCAGCUCCAGGCCUCUAUCGCCGGGACCGGCGUUGAGAGCUGGGCCCUGCGCGGCGGAAACCCGCCAAACCCGUCAGGUCCGGAAGGAAGCAGCGGUCAGCGGGCCUUUCCGAGCGCCGCAGGCCCGCCUGGCUUGAGCCCUACCGGCCGACACGCCUUGGAGUCAUAGUCGAAGGGGGGUGCACGG